rnacentral:rRNA from 1 species
UACGAAGGGGGCUAGCGUUGCUCGGAAUCACUGGGCGUAAAGCGCACGUAGGCGGAUUCUUAAGUCGGUGGUGAAAUCCUGGAGCUCAACUCCAGAACUGCCUUCGAUACUGAGAGUCUUGAGUUCGGAAGAGGUUGGUGGAACUGCGAGUGUAGAGGUGAAAUUCGUAGAUAUUCGCAAGAACACCAGUGGCGAAGGCGGCCAACUGGUCCGAUACUGACGCUGAGGCGCGAAAGCGUGGGGAGCAAACAGG